AGUGUCAGAAUUCUAAUGUCAUAAGUGAGCAAACCUUUAAUAAUUGAAUCAUGAUCUGCAAUUAAGUCACUGGGAAUUUACUCUCAAAACUCCACUUUAAUCUGGAUAAUCUUGUAUUACAUCAUUCUUCGCAAAGAGUCUCUGCUCCAGGUUUAACGUGUCUGGUUUGCCGUUUUAGCAUUUGUUGCUUCCAAAUAGUCGGAGUGCUUAUUUGGUUUAAUAUAGAAAAUAUUUAGUUAUGCUAAAAAUAAGUGAAAAGGUAAUUUUCUGCACAAACAUUCUACCAAACAGAACUUAAUAAAUGAUUCAUCUUGCGGAUGUAUAAAUUAAGGCUCUGGCUGCGCCUGAAAAUAUGUUUAAAAAAUGUUUAUAUUUAAGUUUAACAAGAAAAACAAAAAGAAUCUUGAAACUGACCAAGUAAACUGAAAUAAAAAUAAAUUUGCAUUUAUUAUUUUCUCUGUUAUUAUGCAGCUGCCACUUUUUGUUUUAUUUAAUAGCUAAACAACAUCUCGCCGUCAUGAUCCCGUUAUGGCACUAAGAAAUGAAAACUGUAUAGCUGCGAAUAAUUUUCCUAUAUUGUUACUAUCCUACCUAACUUUGUUUUUGUCCUUAUGCCGUUCCUUUUCCACUGCUUCGGUUAAGCUCGCAUAGAAGAUUUGUUUCGUUCAUUACUGCCUUCACAGUGAUCCUUUAACCGUCACUUCUCCAUCACUUUGUGAAGGAUUCAGUUUAAGUAUUUCAAUUUGAAAGCGUUAGUUGUACGCUUUUUAAAAGGGUCGUUAGAUUUAAGCACUGUUCCUUAACAUGAAAGUUAAUUUUUGGAAGUCGGGAGAAGCGUAGCUAAAUCCUGACCUUUUAGUAUAUUGUUACAAAAAUAUGAAUGCGCCUUGACACCAGGUGGCGAGUACAGUAUUCGCAUCCUCCAUCGACAGCUCGAUACUAUUCGACUAAAUUUAAAUCAACAUAUUUAGGCAUUUAAUGCGUUAUACUACUAAUUUCUGCUUUGAGAUGUACUGUAUUUAAAAAUCAGUAUUUUUUGUAAAAAAUAAACUUGUCGACUAUUGUUGCCUUAAAUUUGGUGUGUCUACGACUGGUAAUUACCCCGGCAUUGCUAAACAUCCUCUCAGCUUCGACAGGUGAACGCUGGAAGCUGGGCCGCUAAGGCAUUUCUUGGCACAAGAUGGUUAUGGUCCAAUGCACCGUGACACUACCCACCUUUACCGGCCACUUACCUUGCGCCUUACAUAUUUUCGUUAAAAAUAAUUUUCAAUUGCAUGCUGGUUUUUUUAUUGCAUUUGUAUUGCGUUUUAUUUGAACUUAAUAAAUCUUUGGUGAACAUAUAAAUUAAAAAAAAUAUACAUUAAACAAAGAUUAAGGCUUAUGGAUAUUCCCAAUAAGUAUACUUCAGUUGCCGUUACAAAAAAUUGACAGUUAAACGAAACUAAAUGGUAACUCUUCAUCUCAAUACAUUUGAGUGGAGUGCGAAUGAUUACGUAUAAAAUAUUUAAUAGCGAAUAAUUAAGACAAAUUAAAAAUACAUAUAUGCGUGUGUGUGUGUAUGUAGAUAAGGCAACGAAUGAACAAAUCAUUUGCAGUUCGGGGCAAAAUAAAAAUUAUCAUUUACUUAAAAAUACAAAAAAAAAUUUAACAACGCCACCAGCGCUUGAGGCUUGAGGCAGCUUGAUGUUGACAUUUCUUUAUAAAAAUUGUAAAUUUUAUGCUAUCAUAUAUGUAUGUGUGUGUGUGUGUGUGUGUGU